GAGAGGUGCUGCAUGGCUGUCGUCAGCUCGUGUUGUGAAAUGUUGGGUUAAGUCUCGCAACGAGCGCAACCCCUAUCGUCUGUUGCCAGCAUUAAGUUGGGCACUCUGACGAGACUGCCUGGGUUAACCAGGAGGAAGGUGGGGAUGACGUCAAGUCCUCAUGGCCCUUAUGUCUAGGGCUACACACGUAAUACAAUGGCACGUACAGAGGGAAGCGAACCAGCGAUGGGAAGCAAAUCUCAAAAAACGUGCCUCAGUUCGGAUUGGAGUCUGCAACUCGACUCCAUGAAGUUGGAAUCGCUAGUA
rnacentral:rRNA from 1 species